rnacentral:rRNA from 1 species
UACAGGGGGUGCAAACGUUGCUCGGAAUCAUUGGGCGUAAAGCGCACGUAGGCGGUUCGUUAUGUCGGAUGUGAAAGCCCUUGGCUUAACCGAGGAAGUGCAUCCGAAACUGGCGAGCUAGAGUACGAAAGAGGAUCGCGGAAUUCCCGGUGUAGAGGUGAAAUUCGUAGAUAUCGGGAGGAACACCAGCGGCGAAGGCGGCCACCUGGACGGAUACUGACGCUGAGACGCGAAAGCGUGGGGAGCAAACAGG